rnacentral:lncRNA from 1 species
UACUCAGGUGUGAAUUAAGAAUGGUCUGUCCUUUGAAAAACGUCUACUAUGAUUGGUAGAUAUAAGGACUUAGGGGAGGUGACAUAGGAGAAAAUGCCCCUUAAAUAGGAGCUCAGAUUCAUUCAGAUGUAUUUUCAGAUUGAGGAUUGAGCUGGUGGAGGCAGCUGAGAUGAUGCUGUCCUGGUGUCACUAGAAUCCUUGCUUGGACACAUCUUGUGUUGUCUGGAACUCAAAACUCAUGUUCCUUUAGAAACAUAGAUUUAGAGCUAAGAAGAGACCUUAAGUAAGUAUUUAGUUCAACUCCCUCAUUUUACAGAGCAUGAAAUUCAAGUUAAGAUAGUAAAGGACAAUCAGCUAGCAAGUAACAAGAU